CCCAGGAUCCACCUCCUCUCAGACCCAGAACUCCUGUCAGCCUUCUCUCCUGAGUCUGGCACUUGAGGAGAGACAUUUUCCAGAGCACAAAGGAUCUGAAGAAGUGUGUGCUUUUCCCCUCAACGUCGGAGCUGCUUGCGCUUCUGACCAGAUGAUCCAGCUUCCAGGAGAGACCUCUCCAGGAAUUCCCAGGUACCCUCCACGCGCCCUCAGGGAGUCUGGUGGCUUGAAUAGGCUGCAAAGUCCCUCCCUCCGGGUCCAUACACUCCUUCGCAAUGUAAUUUUGCUCCUCCCAGCAAGUAGUGCGUCCAUUUCUCCACUCCAGAAUCUGGGUUUGGUCGUGUGACUUGCUUUGGCCAAUGGGGCGUUAGCAAACACGAUGUGCGUGGAAGGAAGCCCAGAGCCCUCCUAGGCGGCUUGGCACUUUUUGCCGCUGGGAACUCUGAGAUCGCCCAGUGAUGAGGCCUGGGCUAGCCUGCUGGAGGACGUGAGACCGCGUGGAGCUGGGACAAGCUGGUGCGGCUGAGGGCCCUUGCACUUGCUAGCCCGCAAACCGGCCAAAUGUGAAGGAGAACUUCAGGUCACCCACUAGCUGCCCACGGGGAUGUAUCGUCUGGCCCCGCACAGCCGAGCUACCGGGAACUAGCUAAAAUGGUGAUGCCAGUGGACUUGGAGACGGGAAUCAAUGCACACAGUUGGCCUACACUGCUCGUGGGAGUCUGGCCAGCUCCAGGACACCAUGGCCUCAAGUGACUGGCAUAACAGACAUCUGCUCUGAGGGCACCUCUCGUCUUUGCUACCAGAGAACCGCUGGAAGUGUCUUUUAACACCCAGCAGAGUGCCUGGCACAUAGGAGAUGAAGUUCCCUGGAUGAAUGAACAAACGGUUGUGUCUCUGAGGCCCUGAAAAGGCAAUUACAACAGUCAACGGUAUAUAUCUGUAGUUUGUGUUACUUACUUGUAAAUAAAAUCAGGUCCGGGUGUGACUGAAGGCUGCAUCUGGCGAGCGUAAUGCCAAACCCAGCCAGGGUGAGUGAAGGGAAUCUCAGGCUGCCUGCCCUCCGGCCAUUUCCCACCUGGUCCCGUGCUACUGGUGAACAUGUACUUGAAAAAAAAUCGUACAUACAUCUUCUCUAAGAACAAACGCUAAUUUUGAGGGUCAUACCAGGCCAACACAAUAUUGAGGCAAAAAAAAGUAUUUGUCGUCUUCUCAGGGUCAUGGUUCCACUAUAGAUAGAGUCAGUUUAGGUAACUAUUAUUCUCUCUGUCUUCAAGCAAAUAGCCUUUUCCUGUAUGUCUAAGAAGCUGACAGGACAAUUAAAGUCAUUUAUCUCAAGACACAGAAAGUUCAAAGGUGAACCGAUUAUCCCAGGACAUUUGUAGCUACUUCUAAAUAACAUUUUCUCCACCUUAAAAAAAAAAAAAAAAUUAGUGGGUGCCCUGUUUAUAGGACAAAAUAAAAACUCAUUUUCCAACAUUGACAUGCAAAGUGAUUAAUACCUUUACAUAUCAAAAUUAUUAUACCUUUAUAUACAAAACACAGGUUCUUAAUCUUUCCUCUCUUAUUUUACUUAUUUAUAGAUUUGUUCCAGGAAUAAUUUAAGACAGAUUACAACACAUAAAAUACAGCAAAAUAACACAAAUUUAUAAAUAAAUUAAAAAUGCAAAGGCAAAAGAGGAUAGGGACCAAAAAUAGACUCAGAAAUGAGGCCAAUUUAAAAAUGCCUUGUGUAAGGACUGAUACACUUCCAGGCAGUGCUGCUGGUGUCUAUACAACAGUCCUCCUGCCCUUCUUCCUUCUACAGAGCCCUGACUCUGUUGUG